GAAGGAGGUUUCUUUACUUUUUAUUUGAAAAGGAAUUGUUUUUGUUGUUUUCCUAAAGCUGGAGAGUGAAGGAAGCCAUCCUUGAGGAGUCAAGAUAAACUUCGGAUGUAAGUGGCCUGGGCUCCCUCUGGGUGGAAUGUUUCACCAGGCGUUGUGAGAAGAGGAGAGCGGGAUUCUGACCCAGGCGCUGCUGCUGGAGGCUCUGUGACACCCGCACAUCGUCACUUAACGUGCAAGGGCUGUCCAUGGUCACUGUCUCUUUACCGUGCAUGAUGUGAACGGUCACUGGGUCACAGAAUUCCACUGGGAACGGGAAGAGCCUCUGGAGCAGCACCUACAGUCCUGCCUUCUGUGCUUGGGGACCAUCGUGGCUCACUAGUUUCACACUCCUUGACUCGAUAUUCAGCUCCAAUUUUCAUUCUGUUUAACUGAAAGAACUGCAUGGUUCACAGAGACCUGGACAUACAACCGUUAGAAUUAAAUUAGCACGCAAGAGUGCCCUGAUGAUCUUCACAAAGACGCAGAACCCAAGUGCUUUGGAAUUGUUUUAGCACCCGGUUUGGAGCCAAACAGUCUCACAACUCCCAUGAUGACCCAGCUUUUUUUACACCUCUUAAAGUAGCAAUAUGAGUUUUGUCUUCCCAAGGGUAAUUUUGGUUUCUUACAAAGGUAAGAAAGAAAAGUAUGGAAAAUGAUUGAAAUAAAAAGGGGGGCAUACAAGGGGUAAAUAUCUUCAAGAAAACCUGUGUCUUUGCUUAAAAUGAUGUAGAAAAGAUAGUGAAAGAACCAAACCGUCACAGCAAAUUCUUUACAAAUUAAUGCCGUGAUUCCUCAGUACUGUCGAAAUUACAGUUCUGGAGAGGCUAUGAAAACAACUUCCAUUCUGAUGACAUGGAAUCAUUAUAUUUUUGUGACUAUAUAGCUGACAAUAAAAGGAGCAAUGAUAACAAUUCUCAAAAAAUGUAGGUAGAUUUGCAGAACUCUAGGUGGACAGGUAUCAUUCAUGCAUAUUGACAAUUAGCAAUAUGGAGAUAGUUCUUAUGGAACUUAUGUGCUACACAAAAUACAACUUAAAGUUGGUUAUGCGUCAGUUUCCUUUCAACUGAGAUCUUCCAAAUUUUUGGAUUGAAGUUCUUAUACAUUACAUGGAUUCAAUGUACCCAAUCUGAUUGCUGGGUUUUUUUUUUGGAUGCAUUUUUUGUCUUAUGAAAUGAGUAUAUUAUUAUUUUUAAUAAAGCUUUUAUAUUAGCUAAUGGAUAAUUUUAAACCUUCAAUAGAGAACAUUUGGAAUGAUUGUCAAAGAGUGAUAACAUAUAUACUAUAAUUUAAAUAUUUGCUUCCUCAAACUCAUAUUGAAAUUUAAUUGCCACAUUUAAUUGCCAGCAUAAUGGCAUUGGGAGGGGGGCCUUUAAGAAGUAAUUGGGCCAUGAGGGCUCCACCUUCGUGGUUGAGUUUAAUGUCUUAAUAAAAGGGCUUUAAGGAGUGAUCUCUCUCAGCUCUUUUGCUCUUCUGCCACGUGAGGAAGCGUGUUCCUCUCCUCUGGAGGAAGCAGCAUUUGAAAGGACAUCUGGGAGCAGAGACUGGGCCUUCACCAACACUGAACAUGUUGGCCCUUAAUAUUGGACUUUCCAGCCUUCAGAACUAUGAGCCAAUAAAUUUCUGUUAAUUAU